GAAGUUGGAGAAUGACACCAUCUCCAAGCAGCUCACCUUAGAGCAGUUGAGACGGGAGAAGAUUGACCUGGAGAACACGCUGGAGCAAGAACAGGAGGCGCUGGUAAAUCGGCUGUGGAAGAGGAUGGACAAGCUAGAAGCUGAGAAGAGAAUCCUCCAGGAGAAAUUAGACCAGCCUGUGUCUGCUCCCCCGUCGCCUAGAGACAUCUCCAUGGAGAUCGACUCUCCCGAGAACAUGAUGAGGCAUAUCCGGUUCCUAAAGAACGAAGUGGAGCGCCUGAAGAAGCAGCUGCGGGCCGCCCAGUUACAGCAUUCGGAGAAGAUGGCCCAGUACUUGGAGGAGGAGCGGCACAUGAGGGAAGAGAACCUGCGUCUGCAGCGGAAGCUCCAGAGGGAGAUGGAGAGAAGGGAAGCCCUG
rnacentral:lncRNA from 1 species